UCUCUCUCUCUCUCUCUCUUCCAAUUUCUGUUGAGGGGAUAAAUUAGUUGUUAUAUCGGGUCAACGCUAGCACACCAAUGGACUAGGGAAGAAACCAAUUGAAGCCACAAUACUGCUGCAUUGUACAAGAGAGGUCCAUGUGGGAGCUCUUUAUCAGUAUUCCUGGUGUUUUAAUUUAUUAUAUGAUUUUGUAUUCUACAAUAUGGUUGCUGAAAACAGCAGAUGGAUCAUGUCUCAAGACCAUGGGUAUGAAGAACACAUUCAUCUAAUAGUUACUGUUGUAAUGAUUUCGAAUUUUGAACUUGUUGCUAGUAGAGCUUUUGUUUUGUAUGGUUUCAUAAUUGGGUAUGUAGCAUUGCUGUUGAAGCUAUUGUUUAGAAAAAUAUUUCCUUAAAUAUGUUAGUUAAGGGUAUUAAAAUUGGUUUAAAGUUGAAUUUGACAUGUUUUAGUCACUCCAAAAUAACUAAAAUUGGAGGCUAUGUCUUGUUGAUAUUGUUAAAAGAAAAAAGAAGUCAUAUCAUUCAACUUUUGAUUGUAAGCACAAGCAAUUACUACUGCUAUGAGCUGAUGAGAAGAUGUUAUUUGACAAGUAUGGGCGUUGCUUGAAAUGAUGCUACUAAGAAUGAUAUGAUAAUGUGUAAAUCAAAAAUAUUUUGGUCAUUGUAUUGCUGAAAAGAUGUUUGAUAGAUUGCCAAUUCUCAUGGCAUGGGAUGGCAAACUUGCUGGCUGACCUUCUCCAAGCUUGAACAGGGCUCAAACUUGAGGGAUUUCAUUGUGUUCAAAAUUUGGUAUUUGGUUGGGAGUGUCUUUUAGGAUUUAUAACUGGUUUAUAGCUAUUCAAAGGUGGCAUGGUCUUGUAAAGACAUCAUUGGAGUUUGGUGAUGUGGACUGUUUCUUUUCUGUUCACAAUUUUAAGGAGCCAAAAGGGCAUGCAGAAAUCUAACAAAUGGGGAAGGGCAAUGCUAGCAAAAUUUUUGACUGAUGGUGAAGGAUGACAAAAUGGUUGGUGUGGAACCCUUGGAUUUGGUUCUACUGGAAAGGCUUUUAUUAAUGUGCAUGAAGAUGUAUGUUAUCAAUUUCAUAUCAUGUACUCACCUUUUUCUUCUUGAUAAUGUUGUUGCACUCCAUGGAUGCCCUAUAGUGUUUUCUCUUUGAAUGUUUGGAAGAAAAUGUUGGGGUUAAUUAGUUACUGAAUAAAUCCAUUAUGUGAUGGCUCAUUGACCGGUUAUUGGAAUUUUGUUACUUGUUCUAUAGCUGUGAAAGUUGCUCCUUGCGAAUGAUUAAGGU
rnacentral:misc_RNA from 1 species